GUAAGGAAUAUUGGUCAAUGGGGGCAACCCUGAACCAGCCAUGCCGCGUGAAGGAUGAAGGCGUUAUGCGUUGUAAACUUCUUUUGUAUGGGAAGAAUGACAGGGAUUUAUCCUUGGAGAGACGGUACCAUACGAAUAAGCACCGGCUAACUCCGUGCCAGCAGCCGCGGUAAUACGGAGGGUGCAAGCGUUAUCCGGAAUCACUGGGUUUAAAGGGUACGUAGGCGGUUAAUUAAGUCAGUAGUGAAAGACUGUCGCUCAACGACGGAUGUGCUAUUGAUACUGGUUAACUUGAAUCAGGUUAGAGUUGGCGGAAUGGGUCAUGUAGCGGUGAAAUGCUUAGAUAUGACUUGGAACACCGAUAGCGAAGGCAGCUUACUAUUUCAUGAUUGACGCUGAGGCACGAAAGCGUGGGUAGCGAACAGGAUUAGAUACCCUAGUAGUCC
rnacentral:rRNA from 1 species